UACGUAGGGGGCAAGCGUUGUCCGGAAUCAUUGGGCGUAAAGCGCGUGUAGGCGGUUCGGUAAGUCGGCUGUGAAAGUCCAGGGCUCAACCCUGGGAUGCCGGUCGAUACUGCCGGACUAGAGUUCGGAAGAGGCGAGUGGAAUUCCCGGUGUAGCGGUGAAAUGCGCAGAUAUCGGGAGGAACACCAAUGGCGAAGGCAGCUCGCUGGGACGUUACUGACGCUGAGACGCGAAAGCGUGGGGAGCAA
rnacentral:rRNA from 1 species